rnacentral:rRNA from 1 species
UUGAGAGUUUGAUCCUGGCUCAGAACGAACGCUGGCGGCGCGCCUAACACAUGCAAGUCGAACGGGGUUAUAGCAUGAAACCUGCUUCGGUAGGUGGAGUGCUUUAACUUAGUGGCGAACGGGUGAGUAACACAUAGGUAACCUACCCUUAGGAUGGGGAUACUCCCGAGAAAUCGGGCACAAUACCGAAUAUGAUUCCGAGGUGAAAUGCCUUGGGAUAAAAGCUACGAGCAAUCGUAGUACCUGAGGAUGGGCCUGUGGCCUAUCAGCUUGUUGGUGAGGUAAUGGCUCACCAAGGCAAAGACGGGUAGCCGGACUGAGAGGUCGAUCGGCCACACUGGAACUGAGACACGGUCCAGACUCCUACGGGAGGCAGCAGUG